rnacentral:rRNA from 1 species
AUUGAACGCUGGCGGCAUGCUUUACACAUGCAAGUCGAACGGUAACAGGCCGCAAGGUGCUGACGAGUGGCGAACGGGUGAGUAAUGCAUCGGAACGUGCCCAGUCGUGGGGGAUAACGCAGCGAAAGCUGCGCUAAUACCGCAUACGAUCUAUGGAUGAAAGCGGGGGACCGUAGGCCUCGCGCGAUUGGAGCGGCCGAUGUCAGAUUAGGUAGUUGGUGGGGUAAAGGCUCACCAAGCCAACGAUCUGUAGCUGGUCUGAGAGGACGACCAGCCACACUGGGACUGAGACACGGCCCAGACUCCUACGGGAGGCAGCAGUGGGGAAUUUUGGACAAUGGGCGCAAGCCUGAUCCAGCAAUGCCGCGUGCAGGAAGAAGGCCUUCGGGUUGUAAACUGCUUUUGUACGGAACGAAACGGCUCUCUCUAAUACAGGGGGUUAAUGACGGUACCGUAAGAAUAAGCACCGGCUAACUACGUGCCAGCCGCCGCAGUAACAC